rnacentral:rRNA from 1 species
GAUGAACGCUAGCUACAGGCUUAACACAUGCAAGUCGCGGGGCAUCAUGGAGGUUGCUUGCAAUUUCUGAUGGCGACCGGCGCACGGGUGAGUAACGCGUAUCCAACCUUCCCAUUAAUAGGCAUACCCCGUUGAAAGGGGCCUAAUUCCGUAUGCAGUCCGAAGCAGUCAUCUAAUUUGGACGAAAGGUAUAUUCUAUCGGUAAUGGAUGGGGAUGCGUCCGAUUAGCCAGCCGGCGGGGUAACGGCCCACCGGGGCAUCGAUCGGUAGGGGUUCUGAGAGGAAGGUCCCCCACACUGGAACUGAGACACGGUCCAGACUCCUACGGGAGGCAGCAGUGAGGAAUAUUGGUCAAUGGGCGUAAGCCUGAACCAGCCAAGUAGCGUGCAGGAUGACGGCCCUAUGGGUUGUAA